UUGGCUGAAAAAAAUAUCCAGUGAUUUGUCUUCCGUCAAAUCGGGAGAAUGUAGUAUGCUACCUUGUUCGCCUCAAACCAAGAAUUUCAAUCUACGCGAGCUUUUAAAAGCGUCAGUAAAGGGACAACUUGCUUUCAGUUAUCAAGAAAGGCAUGGCUACUUGGACAGUAGAAACCAAAAAAAUGUAACACAUUGCAUCGUUGACAACUAUAUUGGUUUAGGAUGCAAAAUGCAAUACUCAGAUAUGAGGGAAUGGGCGAAUGAAAUUGUUGCGGUAUUUCCUAAAGAAAUGAAGGAAUUUCACUUUUUGGAAAGAAAAAUGGGAAAACAGAAUCCGAUUGGUAAAUUGUUCUCGCGUUGGGCUAAUGUCCUAAAGUUGGAAAACAAAGCUAAUUCUUUUACGCAGGAAGCUCAUGGAGAUGUUUUUGACGAUAACGUUUUGGAAAAAAGUGUUGGUUGGCACAUAACUGCACACCUUGGGAAAAAGUUAAAAAGUUUUGGGUAGAUACAUACAUGCACGUUUAGAAAUAAAUGUAAGAGGUCUCUAACGGAUUUGCUAGCAGACUGGCCGCGCUAUAAUGAUUUUAACGGUUACGAAUUGGUUGAUAUUGAUUUUAAUGCCAUGCAUCCAGAUAUUAGAAACGAGCUGUUCUUAAAACUUUACAAGUUUUAUAAAGUAAUCCUUCCUAUCUUAAAUGCGGAAGUAAAAGACCAAGCCAGCCGAGAGUUACUACUUUUGAAACUCAUUUACAAAGAGUUAUCAAAUGAUUCUAAAUAUUGCAUUGUGUUGUUACUGCCCCAUGCGGUUCUUCAGCCACAGCGUCAGAGCAAAACCCACAAACCAACGAUUGGUGACGCUCAAUCAGAGCUUAUAACACCAGCAACUACACCAAAUGAUAUAUUACCAAAGAUUUCGUCCAAAAUUGAGCAAUACGCGAUUAAAAAACAGCAAUUGCAGCCUCAAAUCAUUA